CUCUGCGAAGUCAUUAUACUUCAACAAAAUACCCAUUCCCUUCCACUUACCAUUUCUCUUUCAAUUUACUCUGUUGUUCCUACAUAUCAAGGAACUAAGUGCGGAGCUACACCCACAGAAGUUCAGCUAUACCACACGGUUCAGACUCCACAAACUCAGCUGAAAGCUCUAAAGACUUCAUCUACAAAUCACUCUGCCCAUUUUACCUCCAUUCACGGUUAAUGGCGGGUGAUGACGGGGCGGAGCUGAGGCUAGAGUUCAACUCCUUAUUUUGAUUUCCGCUGCAGAACUAGCCAGUAUCUGUCUUUUGUUCCUUAACUUAAGACCUAUUAUGUUGUGAUUCUAAACAAUAUCUUUUGUUGAGCCUAUACUAUUGACUCUCAAGUAUUUCGAUCAGUGAAUGUUGGUUAUC